CAGCAAGUCCCGUCUGGGUCUUCCAUGCGGCCUCUUCUCCAUUUCAUCCCUGCGGGGACUUCAUCUGAUGCGCGGUUUUCUUUCCCUCCGACAUAUAUAUACGGAAGCUACACGCUGGUGGUUAACAGACUGUGUCUGUCUGGAAAUAGACCGCAGUCUCACGGUUGUUAAUGCGCGCAUUGGGAGAAUAAUUAAGCUGCAGUUACUUAAAUGCCUUUGUGGCAUUUCAACACAGAAGCUGGCUUCCCAGCUUUUUCUUUCUAACGUGACGUCAUCCUUGGAGCUUGAUUUGGUCACAAACGAACGGUAAG